GGGAUAACUAUUGGAAACGAUAGCUAAUACCGCAUAACAGUAGAUGUUGCAUGACAUUUGCUUAAAAGGUGCAAUUGCAUCACUACCAGAUGGACCUGCGUUGUAUUAGCUAGUUGGUGGGGUAACGGCUCACCAAGGCGACGAUACAUAGCCGACCUGAGAGGGUGAUCGGCCACACUGGGACUGAGACACGGCCCAG
rnacentral:rRNA from 1 species